AGCGAACGCUGGCGGCAGGCUUAACACAUGCAAGUCGAGCGCCCCGCAAGGGGAGCGGCAGACGGGAGAGUAACACGUGGGAACAUACCUUUUGGUUCGGAACAACUGAGGGAAACUUCAGCUAAUACCGGAUAAGCCCUUACGGGGAAAGAUUUAUCGCCGAAAGAUUGGCCCGCGUCUGAUUAGCUAGUUGGUGAGGUAACGGCUCACCAAGGCGACGAUCAGUAGCUGGUCUGAGAGGAUGAUCAGCCACACUGGGACUGAGACACGGCCCAGACUCCUACGGGAGGCAGCAGUGGGGAAUAUUGGACAAUGGGGGCAACCCUGAUCCAGCCAUGCCGCGUGAGUGAUGAAGGCCUUAGGGUUGUAAAGCUCUUUUGCCCGGGAAGAUAAUGACGGUACCGGGAGAAUAAGCCCCGGCUAACUUCGUG
rnacentral:rRNA from 1 species